UACGUAGGGUGCAAGCGUUACCCGGAAUUACUGGGCGUAAAGCGUGCGCAGGCGGUUAUAUAAGACAGUUGUGAAAUCUCCGGGCUUAACCUGGGAACUGCAUCUGUGACUGUAUAGCUAGAGUACGGUAGAGGGGGAUGGAAUUCCGCGUGUAGCAGUGAAAUGCGUAGAUAUGCGGAGGAACACCGAUGGCGAAGGCAAUCCCCUGGACCUGUACUGACGCUCAUGCACGAAAGCGUGGGGAGCAAACAGG
rnacentral:rRNA from 1 species